CAGUCUAUCUUACACUGACAGAUACCGACAGAUCUCUGAUAACACAAUAGAGAGUUGGACCACUGCAACAUGCUGUGCACUGGAACCACCAGAGAGAACAUAAAAUAAACUUGUGUUGGAUGUUGAUGUACCAGCCAACUUAAGAUGAAAAGGCAAAGGGAAAGAAGUGUUAAGAGAAAAGGGAAAAAAAGAGAAAAGCAGGAGAACAUGCAGGGUGUAAAACUGAAAUGAUGUAAUCGCUGCAUUAUGCACGCUUGAGCUAAAAUGCACAAUGUUGAUGUCCCAUGCACAGCUGUUUGUUGCACUCAGUUGCACAACAGCAGUAAGGGGGGUUUGGUAUCAAGAGUUUAUUGCACUUAGGUUACACACGAAAAAUACCAGUACUGCACACACAGGUGUCUAAAUGCCACAACAGAAAAAGACUAUAGCCAACAAACAAUAAUGAUUAAAAACCAAUAUGUACAAUACAUGUAUGAAUGAAUAUGAAAUUACUUAAAAAAAAAAAAAAAACAUGAUCCAGUCCAGUAUCACAAAGAGCCAAUUGUAGUAUUUCCGUUUCCAGAAGUUUCUUGAAUGCAGCACCUGCAAACUAUCGCUGUUCAAGCGGCUGCGCAUACAGAAGUGUUUUUGUUUUUUUCCCCCAAAACCUCCCCAUGGCUACUGCGGAGCACACAGCUAGACAGGUGUAUGACAAACACUCAGUUUGAUGUGGAGAAACGUAAAAUACUUUAUGUAAGAUUUAAAAGAUUUUUAGUUGGAAUUGACUGAAGCUGGCAGGAUUGCCAGAGGGAGAAAAGUAGUUCUGAGAGAGAAGUUACCUGCAGGAUAAUCCCCGUCGGGGAUUGUCUCCAAUUAACUUUGAUUAUCGGGACGGUUCUUUCUGUUGAGGACGGCAAGAUCAUCAUCACUGCUUGUGGAUGCCCUUGUCUCACCUGGAUGUUGAUGUGUGGAUGCUGUGCCAUUCUGACGAUAGCAAGUACUUCAUAGUCCGUCACUCCAGAAGUAAACUGGUGAACCCCUUUCACUGGACACACAGUAGAAGAGAUUGAUCAGAUAAGCUCACCUGGACAUGGGGAGGGGAUACCAUGCCAUGCUCAGGCCCUCAUCACCCACCCUUCUGAAAAAGAACUGUGUGAAGCGCCUGGGUUCAGAUAUAUGAAGCAAAAAAAAAAAUAGAGGCAUUCCACAACAUAGAGCCUCAUCACCAUGACAGAGCACCCCUGACACAGAGUCAACAGUGGUGAUGGAGUCAGCCACAUGCAACAAGUGACGUAGCAUACAAUAAUUGUUCAUCCUCCUUUCCUGAAUACAACAAAAAGACCCACUUGAUCACCCUACUGAUGCUGAUCAGUGAAAGACAUAAAAGACCCUGAAGUAAGUGGCAUUACCUAGACUGAUGGCCAGAUGUGCAAAGGAACCCUUUGUGCCAUUGCAACUGACAGUCUUCCAGUAUCAGGGGCACUGUUGAGAGUUUUGGCAAAACUUUGAAUUUCUUUAGGUAUUGCUAGAUUGAUUGAAAUACAUUUUUGUCAGAUCCUCUUGCCAAAUGUCUUAGUAGCACAGCAGAAUCAUAUCAAAAACAUAUUCAGAUUCAGACACAGUGAUGAGUUAGAGGUGUUAAAUUUGACUCAAUCUUCAGUGAGCUUGAUCAUUUUUAUAUUUGCCAGUGUGAAUUACCUCAGUAUUUUGGCAAUGAGGGCAAGAUAGGGCAUUGUUUCCUCUGAGUUGGCCUCGUGUAUUUAUCACCAUUAAUCAAACAGAAGCACUUUUUUUGUAAUGACGGCAACAACUCUUGCAAGGUAGAUUCGUUUUCUCAGGAUAUUACUAGUGUAGUAAGAAAAAAACAGGUGACAGUGAAGUAUGGCAGCUAAUUUUACAGCUCAGAGAGAUUAUUGCUCUUGUUUGUACUAUGAAAAUUUCCACUGGUCAGAUUUCAUACUUGUUCUGAUAGAUGAGCAUUUGCAAAUCAGAAAUCAAACUUUUGAGGAUCAUCCACUAAAGCCCAAACAUCACUAUCUAUGUGACCAUUCAGAACUCAUUGUUCAUUUUGGGACAUAGCUCCCCCUUGAACAUUACGAUUUGAAAGCAAGCACAGUUAUUGGGUAAGGAAGUUGCAUAAUUUUGGAAAUCUUUGUCAAAUUCUUGCUGAAAGGCAUCAGUUUUUGCAGGCUUUUCUAAGUGCUGCCACUCUCUUUCCACCAGAAUCUGUGGUAGAGAGGGACACAGAGUUUUUCUCGGAUGAUUACAAUGAGGAGACAGUCCAUGAUGUGACAGUUAAAGAAACAACAUACUGGAGCAACAUGUUUGUUGUAAUAGGUCAAAAUGAUGAUGGCUCAGCAGUAGGAAAUUCUUAAAAAGUGGUUGUUCAUGAAGACUCAGCAUUUUACUUUAUCACUGAGAAACACCACGUUGCUCAUCUUCCCUACACUGAUGCUUAUCAUACCACUGUCAUGCCGAAAUCUUGCCUCCUAAACCAAGAGCAACUGCUUGAUUUUUACCCACUGCCUGAAUUUAUGGUUUGGGCUAUGUCACUGCUAAUAUUUCACCAUUCUGUCCCUACUUUUUAGAUCAAUGUCAUCCUUAGGUGAAGCUAUAAAGGAGAUCAUCCUUAAGGCUCUGUCCAGUCUCUCAACAAAGGCUUGCUUCUGAACUUGAAAGCUCUGGGGUAGAGUCUGUAGAAACCUACCAAAAGCACAUCUGAGACCUGCUGCCUUUUAUUCAGUAACAAAAACUGCAGGACACCUUAUAAUAUAGUGUAAUUUAUAAUAAUGUUUUAGACAUAUAUACAAUACUUUAUCUGUUAUGUCUUGUUAAUUAUAAGGUAAGUUGCCAGCUAAAAUAGAUUCAACCUAGCUAAAAUAGGAUUUAGCCAGCUAAAUUGAGCUAAUAACUGAUAACUGGUGUUUUUAUUUAUUAUUAGAGAUUAAAAGAUGUUUUACUCAGGAUCAAUCACAUAAGCCAUCAAGUGUAACCAUAAAGAGAUAACUUAAAUUAAUAUUUUCUUUGUUUCAGAAACUAUCACAACCACACUGUAUCUCCAGGUUUUGCCAACUGACUCAAAAUAUCUGUCCCCUCUCUCCAAUUUCUCACUUGUUUCCACGUCCUCAAUGUCCAGCAUUUGAUCCCUUUCAAGCCCUUCCCCACAGCAAUCACUGCAUGAUCUAAGCAGUGCUGGUCCAUCAAGCAUACCCAAGAGAUGGCUUGAAACAUUUCAAGUCCUGUGGGAUAAGAUGCCAAAGGAAAUCCAGACAGCCAUUUCAAAUGGCAGGAGACCCACUCCUGACAAGAGGCAGAUCAGCCAUUGCAAGAAAAAAAACCUGGAAAACACAUAUUUCCAUUUUGGAUGCCAGGAACAAUAAAACCUUGAUAAAGUGUUAGACUUACAUGGCUGAUGACAUAACAGCAAACUGAAAGCUGCAUUUAGAUUGAUGACGUAAUGGAUCCAAUAAAAAUGUGUUCAAGGAAAAUGUAGCCAGGUGCAGCUUUGUUUGUCACUUUGUUUAUGCAAACUUAUGGGAAUGUAAUUUAUUUAACCUAUUUGUUAAUUAUCUUUCAGACAUUAAGGUACUGACAAAGGAAUGUCACUUAAAAAAGCGAUAUUCUACUAAAAUUUUAUUUGCAUUGAAAAGAUUUAUUUGUUUGCACUGAAAUGUCAUUCUAGUGUUACUUCUUUUACAAUCUGUGUAAUUGUGUAUGUUAAAUUAGUUUUUGCCUUUCCUAAUCUUGGGCUUGUUUGUUUUUGCCACUUCAUUGGGAUUAACCCUGAGAGGGAAAUUAAGGCCAGCCGUGGAAAGAUGGUGUCCAAGAAGACAGUCGAGCUUGUGCAAAAGAAGAUGCGGACAGUAUAUCUGCAAGUGGCAUUUCAUAAAGGAUUCUGCCUCCACAACCUCGCCCAUUAAUUAGAGAGUCUGUCCUUCAGCCAGAUGACCUCAGCUCAAGCCCUGUUUUUGAUGAACAUUCACCCCACUCUGGAGUAUCCUUAACUCCAGCUGAACCUUUCAGCUGACACUGAUCUCACUACAGAGAAGAUUUAGAUGCAUAUACUGCGGGAAAUUCCUUUGAUGUACAUCUGACGAUAUGCCAGUGCUCAAUUCCCACAGUGGCGACUAAAAAAUGAUAGUAAACUGUGAUACUGUGACAACAGUGUGAAAAUCCGACAACAUCAUGGAGCAAGUACUCGAACACGGGGCAUAUGGCUUGGCUAUGUGUACACAGUUCCCCGUGAUUUUCUGUCACAUUUGCUUCCACUCAACCAUUGGAAGAGAUGAUGGAGAGAGCAGGAGGAAAUGACAAUCAUUUUAAACGAGCAGCUUUAAAAUGGCUGUCCUGAGCCGAGUCUUCAGCUUUGUGUUCAUUACAAAACAAUGGUGUCGGGGGGGAAUGCAGAGUUGAUUACAGCUAUUAGGUGACAUAGUGUGGCACAGCAGGGCGCUGGGUUGUGAACCUGAGUGCGUUUUUUUUUUUUUUUUUUUCUCCUGUAGUGACAGUUUUUGACUGUCAGGGAAAUGCUCAAUCAACUUGAAAGCUGGGGUGUGUUUAUGAAAUGAGUUCAUGGAAUGAUGAAAGAGUUUCACUGGGCUAUGACAUUAAUGCACAAACAUCCACUGUGAAAUUCAAUGACAGUGAUUGUAUGCAUGCAAGACAGUGAUUAAUAUGUUUAUUUUGAGGUUAUCAGAGCAGAAAUUCAUAUGCUGAGUUCAUAUGUUGGAUGCGAUGGAAUAUGCACUUGUAUUCAUAUUAGAUGUUUAUAUUGUUCUAUUACCAUUGAAGUUUCCCAUCUUUCCUAACAGACGUCACAGUCUGGUGUUUAUUUCCUUAAAGAUCAGUGUCUUUAUUAUUGAAUAACAAUUUCUAUGGUUGAUUUCAAGCAAAUUCUGUGAAGCAAUUCACUGUAAAUUGGAAGCUGGAAAUAUCUUUCAGUUUAUCUUCAAAUGUUUUUCUGUGGCUUUAAAGCUUUCAGUAUGAUGUUGUUUGUUUAAAGGUAAUUUGAAUUUCUGUCCGUAACUAUAUGCUCAAAAAUACCCCUCAUUUUCUAGAGAGACUGGCAUUUCAUUUUUGUUAAGAGCCUUUGCAGUCAUAGACCAUUUCCUGUACUUGAUGAUGUUGGUCAGCAGUCUGUUGAAAUGUGUAUCACAGUGGCAGGAAGCAUUAACAGCACGUAAUUCUAAGCCUAUUUAAAAAUUUAGUGAGAGGACAACACUGUUUUUAGUCAUAAUUGAUUCAGCUUGUAAUACACUAACUGUAACUUGUUUUUUUUGUUUUUUUAACACAGAUUAGAAAACUCCACUAAUCAUAUCAUGAAUAAAUUAACUGUGGUA